rnacentral:rRNA from 1 species
GAUGAACGCUAGCUACAGGCUUAACACAUGCAAGUCGAGGGGCAGCACGGAGAUAGCUUGCUAUCUUGGGUGGCGACCGGCGCACGGGUGAGUAACGCGUAUCCAACCUGCCCAUUACUCAGGGAUAGCCUUGCGAAAGUAAGAUUAAUAUCUGAUGUUGUUAAAAACCCGCAUGAGUUUUUAACCAAAGAUUUAUUGGUAAUGGAUGGGGAUGCGUGACAUUAGGUAGUAGGUGAGGUAACGGCUCACCUAGCCGACGAUGUCUAGGGGUUCUGAGAGGAAGGUCCCCCACACUGGAACUGAGACACGGUCCAGACUCCUACGGGAGGCAGCAGUGAGGAAUAUUGGUCAAAUUGGGACGAGAGUCUGAACCAGCCAUGCCGCGUGCCAGGAAGACGGCUCUAUGAGUUGUAAACUGCUUUUUGACAAGGGUAAACCUCGGUACNCGUACCGAGCUGAAAGUACUGUACGAAUAAGGAUCGGCUAACUCCGUGCCAGCA